AGACCCGAAACCCGGUGAUCUAGCCAUGGGCAGGUUGAAGGUUGGGUAACACUAACUGGAGGACCGAACCGACUAAUGUUGAAAAAUUAGCGGAUGACCUGUGGCUGGGGGUGAAAGGCCAAUCAAACCGGGAGAUAGCUGGUUCUCCCCGAAAGCUAUUUAGGUAGCGCCUCGUGAAUUCAUCUCCGGGGGUAGAGCACUGUUUCGGCUAGGGGGCCAUCCCGGCUUACCAACCCGAUGCAAACUGCGAAUACCGGAGAAUGUUAUCACGGGAGACACACGGCGGGUGCUAACGUCCGUCGUGAAGAGGGAAACAACCCAGACCGCCAGCUAAGGUCCCAAAGUCAUGGUUAAGUGGGAAACGAUGUGGGAAGGCCCAGACAGCCAGGAUGUUGGCUUAGAAGCAGCCAUCAUUUAAAGAAAGCGUAAUAGCUCACUGGUCGAGUCGGCCUGCGCGGAAGAUGUAACGGGGCUAAACCAUGCACCGAAGCUGCGGCAGCGAACGUAUCACCCAAGACAACUUUGCGGAGUUGACGAUUGACGGAGCGAAGCGACGUCAAAGCGUUCAUUAAA
rnacentral:rRNA from 1 species